rnacentral:lncRNA from 1 species
UGUGUCAUUGUUUCAGGAAACUCUCCUGUUAUUGCCUUAGAGAUUUUCUGUUGUACUAAAACCCCUCUCAUUUUUUGCUGCCAUAUAGGAAAAUCUCCCUUCCCAUUAAAGACCCCAAGUUCAAAACUAUUGGAAGUCAUUUUCUAGAUCAAACAGGUCACACUCAGUAAUUUCUGAUUUGAUCACAACAUACAGAUGAGAAACAGAGAUUCUUCAUAACACAGGCAAAGCAACCUAAUGUGUGUAAGUGCGGAAAUAACAAUUUAAAAUACACACUGUCUCCAAUACCAAGUUAAAGAAAUCAACUACCCUGCCCUACCAGGAUUCCUUGAGACUCAAGAUCUCAGGUCAAGUCUUGGGUGAAGGGUAGAUGUUUUAUUUGAUACAAUAAAAAAUUAGGAGAGAUAUUAGUACAGAAUAUAAGAACAGAACAAACUGCUACAAUAUUCAAGUACAUCAAGGAUCAGUAGCUAAAGAACUCAACUAUACUUUUACCAUAUGAAUAUAGGCAGAUUUCAGGCUAAGUACACAAGCACACUGUAUUACUCUUAACAAAAACAAGUAUAGACAGUUUAUUGCUUAAGUACGAAAUUCCAAAUUCACAAAACAAUUAACAGAGAAUAUCAGUCAACUAAGACAUGUAAACGAAGAAAUAAGGCAAUAAAGAUUUAAGUUCAAGAAUUAAAACCACAAUGGUGGUCGUUACACUUGAC